rnacentral:misc_RNA from 2 species
CAGAGAACAUCGCCCUCGCGGGUGACUCUCCAACCCUAUGUUAUCAUACCUUUGUUGCUUUGGCGAGCCGCCUCGGCCACCGGCUCUCAGCUGGUGCGUGCUCGCCAGAGGAUCCAAACUCUUUAGUUUUUAUUGUCUGAGUACUAUACAAUAGUUA